CUGAUUUUGGAAGCAGUAGCACCACGUUGUCCUCCUAUGGUGAGAGGCUCCUGUGUUUUGGGUUUUCCUUGAUGCUCUCUGGAUGUUUUAGUGGGUCCCCUGUGAGUGUGAGGGGUCCUAGUGCCACCCAGCAGCACUGUGAUGUUAGUCUUCACCCAGGAUCUGCUCUGGCUUUUGCAGCCUUGUGCUUGCACUUCAGCUGCCUUUGUUUCUUUGAACCUGGGAGGCAACGCCUGUGAUGUUCAGUUGAGUUUGGCUGGCUCAGAAAGCAUCUUUGGACUCAAAAUGCCUCUGGGACUGUGCAAGGUCUGUGCUUCUGAUCACAGACCAGGUCAUCAAGGUAGCAAGUGUACUCUGGAUAUGGGGGAGCAAAGUUGCAUUGCUCUGGGAGAGAAGAGAGGACGUUCUCACCUAGUUUAUAGAGGAUGGAGACUUCGACAAGGUGCUUCCUGUUGAGCUUCACUUGUGGGCCAUGCUGAGCCUUAUGUGGCACGGCACCUCACCUCAACCUGCUCAUCUACGUGACCACUGUGGGUUCUUCUGAAUGAGGGAGACUAGACAUUUGCUGGGAGGUGUUCUCCAUGGGGCAGGUCAAAGAAACCCCCCAUAUUUUAUCACCCCUAAAGAAGGAGGUGAACCGAUCUGGACCAUUUUCAAGACUUUGUGGCUGAGUCCCAGCUCCAGUUGGGAUGAAUUACUUUCUCUUGGUGCUAUGCUUAGCUGGGGGAAUUACCCCAAGAAAUAAGUUUUCUUUAGAUAUUAUUUUUUAUAUAACUUCAUAAAACAUUGCAUUUAAAUCUGAGUUCAUUCCAUGAGAUUUAUGCUUAUUGUAGCUUAUUAUUAACACAUCCAAAAUAUGGGUAGGUAGGGUGUUUCAAGUGCUCUGCUCAAAUUGGAUCAUGCUCAGCUGGAUGCCUAACCGAAACUGCAGAAGCUGAAGUAAUAUUUUGGGUGUUGAUCUCCCUUGAGGUGAAUCAUAAAGUUGAAGAGAUAAGCUGGCAAUUAGAUGGUCAAACCAGUA